CUUGAACCGGUGCAGACGCGCGAAACCGGCCCUCUCUCCAUCGACGGGACUUCGGUAUAGUGUAGUGUGACUGCUCUAAUCUUACUACGGUUAUGAUUUGGUGGAGCAGCAUGGUGUUUUUCUAGGAGUUUUGAAGAAAGUGAUGAUGAGUGGCUAAACCAGCUGAUAAAGUGGUGAGAAGUGUAGUUUGUUGAUGCUGCUGGGUCGCAUGCUUUCGUCAAGUUAUAAGUGUUAAAAGUGCACCAACUUGGAGCGUCGUCUGAAGAAGAAAGGAUUCCGCCGGAAACCAGAAAGGAUGUGUCUUUUCCGUUACUGCUGCUGCUCCUCCGGCUUGUAAUGUGGAAAAAUGAGGAGGUGUGUCAAGAGUGACAAAGCCAUCGUAUUGGACGGGGAUGAUGUGUUUGCGUGUAACAUGCUACUCGAGUGUUAUAGGGGGCGAAGUAAAGAAGUGAUUUGCUGACUUCUUGAGGGAUUUGUGAUUGUCGUCGCUGUUCGCUGAAGUGUGUCCCGCAGUCAGUGUGGAGCAGUGCAAGGGCAUUCGGAACGGAUUUUGUGCAUUCUUUGAAGAGCUUCAUAUGUUUGCCCCGGGGAUAAUGUGAAGCGUUUGGGGCUGCGGAUGUGAAGUGAAAGUGAAAAGCUUUGAAGAAAUUGGUGAAAAUGACGGAGCUGCCGCUGGCACUGACGGAUGAUUAGUGUUGAAUGGAAACAAGGCUGGUAAUGGCAAUAAGAGGAUUAAUGUGCUGUGAAUCGGAGCUGGAAGCGGGAAAUUGGCGACAGUUUAGACAUGUAUUCUAAUCUUUAUAAUACCGUUCAAAACUGUGAAAUGUGUAUUGAUAAUGCUUGUUUCUAAUUUAAUUUAGUUUUCUGCGUAACAUCUUCAAAAAAAUAUAAGUCUUAUCGUAGUGUUCUAGAAACAAACUGAACUUUGGAUUGAGAGUUUCAAGCAGUGAUGCAUUUUGAACUGAACGC